GUCUACGGCCAUACCACCCUGAACGCGCCCGAUCUCGUCUGAUCUCGGAAGCUAAGCAGGGUCGGGCCUGGUUAGUACUUGGAUGGAAGAAAACACAAGUGGAAGACACCACAGUAGAUA
ensembl:rRNA 5S_rRNA 5S ribosomal RNA